rnacentral:rRNA from 1 species
UACGUAGGUGGCAAGCGUUGUCCGGAUUUAUUGGGUUUAAAGGGUGCGUAGGCGGCCUUAUAAGUCAGUGCUGAAAUAUCCCGGCUUAACCGGGAGGGUGGCAUUGAUACUGUAGGGCUUGAGUAAAGUUGAGGUUGGCGGAAUUGACGGUGUAGCGGUGAAAUGCGCAGAUAUCAGGAGGAACACCGGUGGCGAAGGCGGUUCUCUGGGCAUGAUCUGACGCUGAGGAGCGAAAGUGUGGGGAGCGAACAGG